rnacentral:sRNA from 1 species
AGCGGUAUCGGCGACAUCGAUGAACCUCGAGCCCACGAGCAUGUCGUAGAGCUCGUCAGUGACGAGCUGGCGCAGAGGC